rnacentral:rRNA from 1 species
AGUGAACGCUGGCGGUAGGCCUAACACAUGCAAGUCGAACGGCAGCACAGUAAGAGCUUGCUCUUACGGGUGGCGAGUGGCGGACGGGUGAGGAAUACAUCGGAAUCUACUUUUUCGUGGGGGAUAACGUAGGGAAACUUACGCUAAUACCGCAUACGACCUACGGGUGAAAGCAGGGGAUCUUCGGACCUUGCGCGAUUGAAUGAGCCGAUGUCGGAUUAGCUAGUUGGCAGGGUAAAGGCCCACCAAGGCGACGAUCCGUAGCUGGUCUGAGAAGAUGAUCAGCCACACUGGAACUGAGACACGGUCCAGACUCCUACGGGAGGCAGCAGUGGGGAAUAUUGGACAAUGGGCGCAAGCCUGAUCCAGCCAUACCGCGUGGGUGAAGAAGGCCUUCGGGUUGUAAAGCCCUUUUGUUGGGAAAGAAAAGCAGCAGGUUAAUACCCCGCUGUUCUGACGGUACCCAAAGAAUAAGCACCGGCUAACUUCGUG